AUUUUUUUUAAAUGCUGUCCCGAUUAAGCAGGACUCACAUUAACCAGUAUCUAAAGUAGACGUUUACUGGGGUGAAAAAUACACUUUCCAUUAAUAUAUCCAUCCCACUCCCUUGUGCACAGUAGGUGGGACUAUUUGCAAACUUAAGAAUUAGUUUUAUGUAUAUUAACCACCUUCCAAACGAGGUAAUUCCCUCCAUUUUCAAGCACUCAUGUUGAUUCGAGACCCUCUGACUUUUGGCCUUUAGAAACUGCUCUCCACUUGAGUCCCAAGACAGAACCACAUUUAGCAACGGGUCUUCUGACUUCCUGAUACCCAAACCCACAAGCGCCAGGACUGCUGUGUCCGUUCGUUAUAAAACACUGUUUGCGCCUUUCACCUUCCGGGGAGAACCAGGGCUUUCCGCCCCGGGGCGCCGCUGGGAGGGGAGGGUCACGCGUUUGCAAAGCAAACACCGGGGUCUGGCCGAGCGGCGUCCGGGGGGUUAGGCGGCGGCUCUCCUCCCCGGAGGCUGAGCCGGCCGGCAGCGCUCAGGCUGAAGGAGAAAAGAAGAAGGUCAGCAAUGCUGAUGAUAAAAACAAAGAGCAGUGGAAACAAAAGAAAUAAGAAGGCGGCAGAAGGCAACUUAAUCUGAAUUAAGCCCUAUCCGAUCAAACACUCCAACCCCGGAGGAAGCGCACUGUUGGAGGAACUAAGAAUGAUCCAGCCUGACCUUCAGUUGCAGGACAAGAACUGUGGUGCGGAAAAGCUGCACCCGAUUUAGGAGACCCCAGGGUCUAGGUCUGGGACCAAAUUAAGUUACUGUACUGAGCAAGUUAUUUUGCCUUUUUUUGACACUGUUAGUGUUUUAAGCACCUUUGUACAGUUUACUUGGCACUAUAAACGUGAAUUCUGAAGUG